GCCUUCGUGGUGUAGUGGUCAACAUACUGGGCGGGUAUUCCAGAGGUCUGUGGUUCGAGUCCCGGCAAAGGCG
rnacentral:tRNA from 1 species